rnacentral:rRNA from 1 species
CCCCCUCGAGAUGAGCUCUCCCUGAAGGGCCCUCGAAGACUACGAGGUUGAUCGGCUGGAUGUGGAAGCGCGGCAACGCGUGGAGCAAACCAGUACGAAUUGCCCGAACGGCUUAUCCAC